UGAGGAAUCUUGCGCAAUGGGUGAGAGCCUGACGCAGCCACGCCGCGUGGAGGAAGACACCCCGCAGGGGCGUAAACUCCUUUUGCGUGGGAAGAACUCCCGGACUUCGGUCCGGGCUGACGGUACCACGAGAAUAAGCACCGGCUAACUCCGUGCCAGCAGCCGCGGUAAUACGGAGGGUGCAAGCGUUGUCCGGAAUCACUGGGUGUAAAGGGUGUGCAGGCGGGCUGGCAAGUCAGAGGUGAAAGCCCACGGCUCAACCGUGGAAUGGCCCCUGAUACUGCCAGUCUUGAGUCCCAGAGAGGUCGCUGGAAUUCGUGGUGUAGCGGUGAAAUGCGUAGAUAUCACGAGGAACAUCAGAGGCGAAAGCGAGCGACUGGAUGGGUACUGACGCUCAGGCACGAAAGCGUGGGGAGCAAACAGGAUUAGAUACCCCCGUAGUCC
rnacentral:rRNA from 1 species